rnacentral:miRNA from 1 species
GGGGGGGGGGGGGGGUUGG